ACUGCAUUUUAGCAGCUUCCAGCCAGUGAACUCACAAGGGUAGACAGGGUGCUAAGUGAGGGAGGGGCAAGUCUUGCACUAACACCAUGAAGGCCUGUGACCCAAUGAGUUGAGUUUGACAGUAGUUCUUGCUACAAGU
ensembl:snoRNA SNORA62 Small nucleolar RNA SNORA62/SNORA6 family